GAUGAACGCUGGCGGCGUGCCUAAUACAUGCAAGUCGAGCGAACGGACGAGAAGCUUGCUUCUCUGAUGUUAGCGGCGGACGGGUGAGUAACACGUGGAUAACCUACCUAUAAGACUGGGAUAACUUCGGGAAACCGUAGCUAAUACCGGAUAAUAUUUUGAACCGCAUGGUUCAAAAGUGAAAGACGGUCUUGCUGUCACUUAUAGAUGGAUCCGCGCUGCAUUAGCUAGUUGGUAAGGUAACGGCUUACCAAGGCAACGAUGCAUAGCCGACCUGAGAGGGUGAUCGGCCACACUGGAACUGAGACACGGUCCAGACUCCUACGGGAGGCAGCAGUAGGGAAUCUUCCGCAAUGGGCGAAAGCCUGACGGAGCAACGCCGCGUGAGUGAUGAAGGUCUUCGGAUCGUAAAACUCUGUUAUUAGGGAAGAACAUAUGUGUAAGUAACUGUGCACAUCUUGACGGUACCUAAUCAGAAAGCCACGGCUAACUACGUGCCAGCAGCCGCGGUAAUACGUAGGUGGCAAGCGUUAUCCGGAAUUAUUGGGCGUAAAGCGCGCGUAGGCGGUUUUUUAAGUCUGAUGUGAAAGCCCACGGCUCAACCGUGGAGGGUCAUUGGAAACUGGAAAACUUGAGUGCAGAAGAGGAAAGUGGAAUUCCAUGUGUAGCGGUGAAAUGCGCAGAGAUAUGGAGGAACACCAGUGGCGAAGGCGACUUUCUGGUCUGUAACUGACGCUGAUGUGCGAAAGCGUGGGGAUCAAACAGGAUUAGAUACCCUGGUAGUCCACGCCGUAAACGAUGAGUGCUAAGUGUUAGGGGGUUUCCGCCCCUUAGUGCUGCAGCUAACGCAUUAAGCACUCCGCCUGGGGAGUACGACCGCAAGGUUGAAACUCAAAGGAAUUGACGGGGACCCGCACAAGCGGUGGAGCAUGUGGUUUAAUUCGAAGCAACGCGAAGAACCUUACCAAAUCUUGACAUCCUUUGACAACUCUAGAGAUAGAGCCUUCCCCUUCGGGGGACAAAGUGACAGGUGGUGCAUGGUUGUCGUCAGCUCGUGUCGUGAGAUGUUGGGUUAAGUCCCGCAACGAGCGCAACCCUUAAGCUUAGUUGCCAUCAUUAAGUUGGGCACUCUAAGUUGACUGCCGGUGACAAACCGGAGGAAGGUGGGGAUGACGUCAAAUCAUCAUGCCCCUUAUGAUUUGGGCUACACACGUGCUACAAUGGACAAUACAAAGGGCAGCGAAACCGCGAGGUCAAGCAAAUCCCAUAAAGUUGUUCUCAGUUCGGAUUGUAGUCUGCAACUCGACUACACGAAGCUGGAAUCGCUAGUAAUCGUAGAUCAGCAUGCUACGGUGAAUACGUUCCCGGG
rnacentral:rRNA from 1 species